rnacentral:tRNA from 1 species
GUAACUCAGUGGUAGAGUGCUUGCCUUGCAUGCAUAAGGCCCUGGGUUCGAUUCCUCAGC